rnacentral:rRNA from 1 species
CCUACGGGUGGCAGCAGUGAGGAAUAUUGGUCAAUGGCCGCGAGGCUGAACCAGCCAAGUAGCGUGAAGGAUGACUGCCCUACGGGUUGUAAACCUCUUUUAUAAAGGAAUAAAGUGAGGCACGUGUGCCUUUUUGUAUGUACUUUAUGAAUAAGGAUCGGCUAACUCCGUGCCAGCAGCCGCGGUAAUACGGAGGAUGCGAGCGUUAUCCGGAUUUAUUGGGUUUAAAGGGUGCGUAGAUGGGUUGUUAAGUCAGUUGUGAAAUUUUGCGGCUCAAACGUAAAAUUGCCGUUGAUACUGGCAUCCUUGAGUACAGGUGAGGUAGGCGGAAUGCGUGGUGUAGCGGUGAAAUGCUUAGAUAUCACGCAGAACUCCGAUUGCGAAGGCAGCUUACUA